rnacentral:rRNA from 1 species
CAGUCGCCGCGGGAAUACGAAGGGUGCAAGCGUUAAUCGGAAUUACUGGGCGUAAAGCGUGCGUAGGCGGUUUGUUAAGUCUGCUGUGAAAUCCCCGGGCUCAACCUGGGAAUGGCAAUGGAUACUGGCAAGCUAGAGUGUGUCAGAGGAUGGUGGAAUUCCCGGUGUAGCGGUGAAAUGCGUAGAGGUCGGGAGGAACAUCAGUGGCGAAGGCGGCCAUCUGGGACAACACUGACGCUGAGGCACGAAAGCGUGGGGAGCAAACAGGAUUAGAUACCCCCGUAGUCCCUGUCUCUUAUAC